rnacentral:lncRNA from 1 species
AAUCCAUCAAACCCAAAUCCCUUUCUCCUAGACAAACAAGCAGCCCCGAAUCCCAAACACACAGACACGGGCCAUCACCAGCAGCAGCAGGCAAAAAACGCACGCGACGCGAGUAGCCCUGCAGGAGUACGCGACGCGAGUCUGAACUCCGAAGAAAACCAACCAAACUCCCAACCAUCGUUGCCUCCCUCGCUCUGACCUCUCUCUCUUUCGCCUCCGCGGCCGGCCCCGCG